CCUAUACUCCCUCCGUCCAGAAAUAAUUGUCAUCAAAAUGAAUAAAAGGGAUGUAUCUAGAUUUAUAUUAGUUCUAGGUAAUUUCAUUUUUGUCCAUUUUGAUGACAAGUAUUUUCGGAUGGAGGAAGUAUUAA
rfam:Triticum urartu cultivar G1812 contig1108071, whole genome shotgun sequence.